CUUAGUAGCGGCGAGUGAAGCGGCAAAAGCUCAAAUUUGAAAUCUGGCGCCUUCGGUGUCCGAGUUGUAAUUUGAAGAUUGUAACCUUGGGGUUGGCUCUUGUCUAUGUUUCUUGGAACAGGACGUCACAGAGGGUGAGAAUCCCGUGCGAUGAGAUGCCCAAUUCUAUGUAAGGUGCUUUCGAAGAGUCGAGUUGUUUGGGAAUGCAGCUCUAAGUGGGUGGUAAAUUCCAUCUAAAGCUAAAUAUUGGCGAGAGACCGAUAGCGAACAAGUACAGUGAUGGAAAGAUGAAAAGAACUUUGAAAAGAGAGUGAAAAAGUACGUGAAAUUGUUGAAAGGGAAGGGUUUGAGAUCAGACUCGAUAUUUUGUGAGCCUUGCCUUCGUGGCGGGGUGACCCGCAGCUUAUCGGGCCAGCAUCGGUUUGGGCGGUAGGAUAAUGGCGUAGGAAUGUGACUUUACUUCGGUGAAGUGUUAUAGCCUGCGUUGAUGCUGCCUGCCUAGACCGAGGACUGCGAUUUUAUCAAGGAUGCU
rnacentral:rRNA from 1 species